rnacentral:lncRNA from 1 species
AACAAUUAGGGGCCUUCAUCUCAUCCAAUCCAACAAAAGGGAACUCUUUUUCCUUUACAACAAAACUAUCUGAAAAUCCCUCAAACCUUAGAAUUCAUAUUCCUCAAUCCCUCUCUCUCUCACCUCUGCCAUCGCCGCCCACCGAAAAUCGCCUAGGAUGACGGCGCCACCCCAAACACACCCUACGCUCCUUAUCCUUCCCUUUCCAUAAACCUCAUAACCAUUGCCUUAAAAUCUCAACCCGUCUUCUCCAAUUUCGGAUCUGAAAAUGCUGAAGAAAACCUAAAUUCUUCCUUUUCUAAUUACUCCUUAACCCCGGCUUAUUUGAACUCAAAACCUAAAUCAAUUAAUUGCUCUUGAUGAGAGCAGUCGAUUGAUGUUAGUCUCAGUUCAACCCACGGCCAUCGGAGUUUGUUCGAUUUACCGGAGUUUGGUUGGAAUUUCAUCGUCAUUCCUUGAAUGACUACUAGGUAAUUUCUCUACUCUAUUUUAUUUUCCUUCUUUUCUUUUCUUUCUUCUUUUUCCUUGUUUUUCUUUUCAAACAUAUAACUCUUCUGUUCCUUCUCAAUUUCUUCUUUAGAUUGUUUGCGCUAAUGAUUAAGAGGUUUAAUUACUCAUUAAUUUAGUGUAAACAUAUAACAUUAGUUUAAUCGAUUUUAGAUUAGUUUGGACAAUUGGAAUAUUUUACUUGUUAAAUUGGGCACCGGUUUUCUUUUGUUUCUGCUUUUGCAUGAUUUACUUGUAAGCUAAUUGCAUGUGUUAGAUUAAUUGAAUCAAUUUUAAUUAGUUCAGUAAUCUAGUUUAGGUAUAUUAGUUAUUUGUUUCUAUUUCAUUUGAUCUGUGAUUUGUUUUUUGAUAGUUUGAUUGCUGAUUCUUAAUGUCAAUGGGAAUUAAGGGGGUUGAAAGGGUAAUUAGUAAGAGGGUCAAAGGGAUUCGAAAAUUUAGUAAAUCUGAGCUGUUUAUUCGGGGAAGUCUCUAGAAGGCAUUAAAGUGCAUAUAAAAUAAGAAAUUGGAUCAAUUUUGGGGUAAAGGGGUAGUUUUCAGAAGAUAAAGGUUUUAUAAAAUAGAGAAAAUAUCUUAAAUUGGACAGCUCUUUCAUUUUUCAGUUGAAAAUUUUUUUUAAAAUUUAGCUAACUGCUUCCCCCAUACUGCUCUGAUUUUUUCUCUCAUAAGAGCACAUGCUCACAUCCUAUAAAGGGACUCCUCCUCCUCUCAUUUUACACACACUAAUUCCUGCAUUUUCAGAUAUAUUCCUUUUAACUCAUCUUUAUUCUAAUUUUCUCACAAAAAUUUGGAAUUCUAGCCUUUCAAUCUCAAAAAAUAUCAGAAAAACUUAAAAAAAAAUUAGUUAUCUUUAUUCAUUGGUAUUGGGAUUCAUCUUUCUGGCUUUUAAAGUUCAAUUUACCUUGAAUUCCUGCUAUUUGCUACUGCACGGUCAAGCUAUUGUUUGAAUUUGAGUUCUGACUACAAUUCUUCAAAGUCAGAGAUUUAUUUUCUCUUCUAUCUGUUGUGUUUGCUGCUAUUGAGGCAUUACCCUUUAUUAAACAAUGUAAACUUCAGGUUUUGCUUGAAUGAUGAAGUUGUUUUGUUUAUCCUGUCAAGUUUCAGUUUGUGAUUAUUGUUUGGUGUUUGCUAAACUAUAUGUUUUUUAACUACUGUUGGAAUAUGGCUAUGAGUUAGGAAUUGCAUUAUUGCAUCUUAAGGUAUAUAACCUGACUUCAAGCCAUGCAGUUGAUGUUUAGAUUGUGUCCAUAUUAUAAAACUUUCUUGGUUUAUUGGUUGAUGUAUAUGCGGGGAUGUUCCUUCCUGUUGACUGUAAAUGGCUAGUGUAAUAAAUUUAUAAACAUGUUUAAGUAGCAAAAACAGCUAUUGCAAAUCAAAUCUACUAUUUGGUUCCAUCACUACUUAAGCAUGCUUCAAUAAGUUGCAUUGAAAUAGAAUCUAUUGUUUCCCUGAUUCAAAUUUGAGCUUGGUUUGUCCAGUUCAUCAGUCAUGUUUAAAGAAGCAUUUAUUGGGUUAAAGUUUAUCAAUCUUCAAAUUUAAUCACUAGUUGGUCAAGUAUGAUGAUUGAUAGGGUCCAGACAUUGUUGGAGUGCAUCAGUUGAUAAUCUUUUCCAAAGGAAGAAUCUGGAAACUAUCACCAUGGAUCGAUAUUUGAAGGCAUUUUAAUUUUGUCUUUUUUUUUACCCUUGAUUAUUUCAUAUAAGGAUAAUAUCUGGGUUGUAUGAGGUAAAUUGUUUUGCUACUUAUCAUGAGAUGAAGAAGUUUGGAGGAUUUGUUACACAUGUUCAAAUAAAUAGCUAAAUGUUUAAAGGACAGGCAGCAAAUAAAUAAAGUAUGGACUAUUUUCCGAAUUUGGAGUUGCAAUUGACAAUGACCGUUAAUGAGUUAAGCAGAAUUGAAUUUGUAAUGUGUAGAUUAUUGUAAUUUGUAAAUCGCUAUUCAUGUUAAUUAUUGAUAAUGUGAUGCAUAUGUUUAUCUGAGUCUAUAUUCAUGUUGAUUAUUGACAAUGUGAUGCUUAUGUUUAAUUAAGUCUAGGCUGAAGUUAAGUAGGCAUGUAUGCAAUUUUUUUUUAAUGUUCAUUGAUUGUAAACAAAAUGUUGGAAAAAGCCCUGGCCAUGAUGAAGGCCAGGCUCAUGCGUUUGGGCCAGACUUCAGAAAGAAGUCAGCAGUGGAAUGUCUCAUAGCUAGGCUUCAUAUGAAAGCCCAUUUGGACGUCUACGGUCGAUUUAGUCUCUUUAAACAAAUGUGAUUGGACUUUUCUUAUGAAUUAAUUCAUUUGGCCUCCUCUCUUUCAGUCAAGUAGAUAAACCUGCUAAUCAACUCAAUAUUUAAUUUCAUAAGGAAUUUUCCUUAAAUUGUGACCUCACAACAAAUUUCAAAGUAGUUUAAGAAGAUAAUCAUGAACACCGUAGUUUACUUUAGGUCUGAAUAAUAAAUUAUCGUGACUAUGGGUACGGUUUCCGUGGCAUGGUCAUAAUAUAUUCCUCAAUUCAAGUGCACAUAUUAUGUGACCCAACCAUAACUUUAAACAAUAAUAAAAUAAAAAUAUCGUAGAUUGUGGGUACAGUUCUGUGACACAAUUCACAAUAUGUACAAAAACAAACCAGUGCGCGACAUUGUGACUUGUUCCACUAACUUUCAUAAUUGUGUAAAAAUUAAUUUAAAAGCGGUUAGAAAUUUAAAAAUUCAAAAUAGAUUGCAAAUAUAUAAUACAUCAGAUAAUUAGGCCAAUUAUUAAUAGUUGAAUGACUGUGCUAAAAUUACGGAAUUCGGGAGUGCCUCACACCUUCUACCGGGUCAACAUAAUUCUUUACCCGGUCUGUUGUGCUUGCGGACCAAAAAUAUAGUCAAUUUUCUCGAUUUGAGAUUUAAAACCAGUGACUUGGGACAACAUAAAUUAUUCCAAGUAGAGACUUGAUCGGUGCCUACACCGCACUACUAUUGAGUAGGGAGAGAGGAUCGAAGCAGCUUUUACCCGAUUAAGGUCGGGAUGAUAUCCACAAAGAGCUAGAAUUUGGAGUUGAGUAUCUAUCUAACUUAGAGUUGCGUAUUUGUUCUUAAUUACACUUCUAAACAUUUUUGGGGUUUUGUUUAAUUUUAAUUUUAUCAACUACUAUGCUAAUUUAAUUAGAAUAAGCUAAGAACAAGAUAUUACGGCUUGAUCAAAUAGUUAAAAGGCACUAAGGUAGUGACUUUCGCCCAGGUGGUCAAUUAAUGGAUACUUAAGUUUAAGAUACGAUUGACAUUUUUGGGGAGUAUGAUAUAUCAUUUGUAAGAUUUUACUCACUCUAUAUCUCUUGGUAAUUCGAGUGAUUUUUAUCGAAUUGACUUUCUCAAGACCAAUUGGGUAUGCAAAUUUACACAAGCAAAUAGGGUUCAAGUCGGGUAUUACUAUCUCCAGGUUUAAUCCUUUAAUUGGAGUUAUCAAUCUCUUGAUUACGCCUCAAUUCCUUGUUGGACUAAUUUCAGAGACUUAGGCUCUCUUUCUCAAGAAGAACCAAAAUCAACUAAACACAACUAGUGUUUGCAACUACUAAUUCAGCAAUUAAUCAUGAAAUUAGUCUAAAUAUCAAAUACUCAUUGUCUAGCCCUAAAACACAAUAACCAUUAAUUACUCACACUAGGGUUGAGCCACAACCCUAGCUUAUGGGUCUAGCUACUCAUAAUUGAAGAAGAAAAUAAAGAAACACAUGAGGAAAACUCAUAUUAAUUAAUUGCUAAGAUAAACUAGAAGAUUCAAUGUUGAAAUAAAGAAAAAAUUUCUCAAAAUAACUAAAACUAUCGAAGUCACGAGCACAGCUCAGUACAAAAUCUAUAUGCUAACCUAAAAAUGGAAAAAGAAGCUAUUUAUACUAAGCUGAUAAAUCUGGAAAAAAUAUCCCAUGCGGGGCUGUUAAAAUAUUUGAACCUACGAGCGCAACUACCAGCUAAAUCUAUUUGCCUGAUCUAAAAAUGGAAAAAGAAGCUAUUUAUACUAAGCUUACAAUUUUGGACAAAAAUACCCAUGCGGGAUUAGUGCGGACCGCACAAAAUGAUGUGCGGCCGAGCAAAGUCUCUGAACUUGAAAUCCCAACUCUCUGAACUCAGGCACUGCGGACCGCCGAGAAUGGAUUGUGGUCGUAGAGGCUUCUAGUACGAUCCGCAUAAAAUGGAGCACAGACCGCAUUGGCUUGAAAACUCCAACUUGGCACUUCUCUGAUUCUUGGCUCUGCGGACAGCACAAAGUCGGGUACGGCUGCGUUGAUCUUAGUUCGGAUCGCACAAAACCUAGUGUGGCCGCACUGCCUCUUUGCUUGGAAAUCAACCUUUCCGAAUCCCUAGUGUGGACCGCACAAAAUGGUAUGCGACCGCGUUGGGAAUGUUCUUCUUGAGCUUUGUCUUGUCUUGAUACUUGUUCAAGUUUCACUCCUGUUGAGCUGAUCUUUGACAUCUUGUCAAUUUAUUGUUCAAACCUGCAAUCAAGCACAACUUAUGAGUCUUUUGGGACUAUUUUAUACGAAUUUCCAAUCAAAACAUAAGCAAGAAGGAGUAUAAAAUGCAUCAAAGUCCCUAGUUAUCAACUUCCACAAACUUAAGCUUUUGCUUGUUCUUAAGCAAACAAAAUAAGACCCACCCCUUAAAGGAAAAUUCAAGAAAUUUUCAGUUGUCCUAAAGUAACCUCAUCUAGCAUCAAUCGGGAGUAACAAUUUCCCUCAAUACAAAUGAAUCAUUAACAACUUUUACUCUUUGAAACUCCAUGGAUUAAGUGCGACGGAAGAACAUCAAGAAUUGAUUCAACACAUCAAAGAACUCUUUUCUAUUACUUCGAUCAUUAUGGAAACCAAUAUCACCCACAUCCUUAACUCCCCUAAAGCAAUGUGAUGACCCGUGGGAACCAUCACUUAUUUUCUUACUAUUCUAUACUAUUAAGGCCUGGAAACCUCAUCCGAAAUUGCCUCGAUUUGCGUGCACAAUCCGGGCGCGUAAUCGGAAAGUUUAGAUAUGGAUUCUGUGAGAAAAAUGCUAAAUUUUGAUAUUAAAUUGAACUUAUUGGUAUCAGGCCCAUAUUUUGGUUUCGCCGCCUGGUACAGGUCUUAUAUAUGGUUUAAGCACUUUCUGUAAAGUAAGGUCGAAAACAGACGUCGUUUGAAGUGUUUCGGACUUAAAAUGGAAAUGCAAUGUUUUAUGAAAAUUUGGAGGAAAUUGUGAGUUUUGAGGCUUAAUUCGAUGUAUAUGAUGUUAUCUUGGCAAUUUGAUCGCACGGAUAAGUCUGUAUGAUAUUUUUAAGGUUGUGCAUAUAUUUGGUUUGGAGCCCCGAGUGAUCGGGUGAGUUUUGGAUAGGUGUCACAGUGCAUUUUUGAACCUAGGAAAUUUGCUGCUAUAAUUGACCUGCAGACUUCACAAUGCGAUCCCACAAUUGCGAAGGGUCAGCUCGCAAAUGCGAGGAUGCCCCCAGACCUGUAGUUAUCGCAAAUGUGAUAUUGGGCUCGCAAAUGCGAAGUCUCCUUUCUUGGCAGAGUUCGCAAAUGCGAACAAUACCACCGCAAAUGCGGAGGUGAGGUCUUCGCAGAUGCGACCUUUUGGUUCGCAAAUGCGAACCUCCCUUCUUCCCUCAUAGUUCGCAAAUGCGAACCCCUAUUCGCAAUUUCCAUAUCUGCAACCUGCAAUUUUUAUACUUAGUUGAAUUUUGGACUGUUUCAGCCCAUUUUUCAAAACACAACUCAUUUGAGUGAUUUUUCAAGAACAAGAUCUCUUCCAAAUCGUUUGUAAGUUGGUUUUUACUUAUUUCUUUCAAUCUUUAACAUCAUUUAACAUGUUUUAAACAUAAAACAGUGAUUUUCAUGGGUGGAAUUGGAGGUUUAGGUAGAACUUAAUUUUUUAAAAAAUUGGAAAUUUGGAUCUUAAUUUGAGGUCCGAUUUCAAAAAAGAUCAUACAGUUGGGUUCGUUGGGUGAAUGGGUAACCGAAUUUUGGUUCGAAACUCGAGUUUUGACCAUGUUGACCUGAGGGCGUUUUGGUCAUUUUACCUAAAUUUUCGUCAUAGCUUUAAAUUAAAUAGUGGAAUCAGUUAUUUGAGAUGUUACUUACUAGAUGAAAUAGAAAUGAAUAGAUUUUGCCAUUUGGAGUCGGAUACUCAUGGCAAAAGAGUGAUUUCAAGUUGACUUUGGAACCGAUUGAGGUAAGUGGCUUGUCUAACCUUGUGUGGGGGAUUUUCCCCUUCGGAUAUGAUGUUGGUAAUUGAAUGCCUCGUGCAUGAGGUGACGAGCGCGUACUUGAGAAACUUGUUGGAAAUCCAUUUUAACUUGAAGUAUUUAAAUUGAGUUUUCUUGCUUUCUUGCUCAUUUGAAAUUGUUAGUUUAUUCUAUGCUAGUUUAGAAGAGCAUGUUCAUUGAUUUACUUGCCUAAGUGCUUAAACUGUCUUGUUUGUACUCUGUGUAGUUUGUUUGGCUAGUACUUUUUUAUUUCUUGUCCUGAGUUAGUAUCUUUCCUAAUGUUCGGGUUGCUAUUGUAUGUUUUUAAAUGGGGACUACGGGUUGGCCUCUCGAGAGAUCCCCUUGCACUUGAUAUGUUCUGGACUGAGGGUGCAGGAUACCAAGAGAUCCCUAGAACAUAAAAUUGUAAAAUUUGAGGAUACCAAGAGAUCCAUAGCAUAUGAAAUUAUAAGAUUUGAGGAUACCAAGAGAUCCUCGGGAUACCAAGAAAUCCCUAGCAUGAAAUUGUAAGAUUUGAGGAUACCAAGAGAUCCCUAGCACAUGAAAUUGUAAGAUUUGAGGAUACCAAGAGAUCCCUGGCACAUGAAAUUGUAAGAUUUGACGAUACCAAGAGAUCCCUGGCACAUGAAAUUUGUAAGAUUUGAGGAUACCAAGUGAUCCCCGGUUCUGGUUCCUGUUGUGCGUAGUAUUUACUAGCAUUGUCCUAUUUUUCUACUUUCCAUUACGGUUUUUGUAUUUGUCUUGUUUAGAUUCUAGUUGUACACUUAAUAUAUACUGUUAUUUCCUCAUCUUAUUAUUUAUUAUGUUGUAUCACAGUAGGGCCCAUACCUUUCCUCGUCGCUACCCAACCGAGGUUAGGCUUGGCACUUACUGAGUACUGCUGUAGUGUACUCAUGCCUCUUCUGCGCAUGUUUUUUUUUAUGUGCAGAUCCAGGUACUUCAUCUUAGGCACACUACCCUUGACGCCAGGAGAGCUACAGAGACUUUGAGGUACUUCUACAAUGUCCGCAGACCAAGGAGUAUCCUUCUUUACUCUAUAUGUAGUAUUUAGACUUCUUCCAUACUUUUGCUUUAGAUGUUCUGGAGUUAGAGCCAUGUAUUACUAUUCGUUAUCUUGUGUUCCCGUAAGUUUCAAGGUUUUGGGAUGAUAUUUUAGACUUCUACAUUCUGAGUUAUAUAUGCCGAGCGGCCUUUAUAUACAGUUUCUUUUAGUUUCUCAGUUUUUAAUUAAUUAUUCCGCAAUAAAUUUUUAGGCUUACCUAGUCAAAAGAACUAGGUGCCAUCACGACAUGUUCACGGAGAGAGAACUGGGAUCGUGACAAGUUUGUAUCAGAGAUCUAGGUUCAUAGGAGUCACGACACACAUGUCGGUUUAUUAGAGUCUCGCUGAUCGGUACGGAGAUGUCUGUACUUAUCUACGAUAGGCUAUGUAACUGUUAUGAAAAUUUCCACUUCAUUUGAUUUCCUUGUCGUGCGAUAUUUUGACAUCACAAAAUUCUAAACNNNNNNNNNNNNNNNNNNNNNNNNNNNNNNNNNNNNNNNNNNNNNNNNNNAAAAUUCUAAACUUCUACCUUCCAUUCUCUCACAGAUGGUGAGGACACGCACUACUCGGUAUGAUCAGGCACCCGUGCCCCUUACUAUAACCGUCAAAGGCCGAGGCAGGGGUAGAGGUCAAGGGCACGCACAUGGUGCAGCCAGAGCACCUGCGCGAGCUACCACCAGCAGAUCUAGUCGGAGCUCAGGCACCCAGCACGCCUACUAAUGCCACUACUACUCCAGCCUUUCAACUUUGUCUCAGUUCAUGAGUAUAUAUACCACCUUGGCUCAGGCAGGGUUGCUUCUCCUUGUUGCAGCCAUACCCUAGGUCGGGGGAUGAGCACAGAUUCCCGCCGUCCGCACUCUUGAUUAGCGAGUGUAGGUUGAGCAGGCUCCUGAGAUUAUUCCUGCGCAGCAUGUAGCGCCAAUUUAGCCUGAGGGCAAGUCAGCUGCUUCAGAGGACGAGUUGCAAAGACUUGAGAGGUGCAAGAAGUAUGAUACCCCAAUGUUUAGUGGAUUAGCAUCAGACGAUGCCUUGGGAUUUCUAAAGGAGUGCCACCGUAUUCUUCGCACUAUGGGCAUUGUAAAGUCCAGCGGGGUUUCCUUUACUGCUUUUCAGCUUCGGGGAGUCACCUACGAUUGGUGGCGCACCUAUGAGAUAGAUAGUCCAGUCGAGGCUGCUUCACUGACUUGGACCCAGUUCUUGGAUAUAUUUAUAAGAGAGUUUGUUCCCUAGAAUCUCAGGGACGCAUGGAUCGUAGAGUUUGAGCAUUUGCGCCAGGGUGCUAUGACCGUUUCGGAGUAUGCUAUCCAUUAUACCAGUUAGAUUCCUGGUAGAUUCCUCUACACAUUGAUAGUUGUACUAUGGGACGGUAUCCCUGGAGAUCCACCAGAUAGUUGAGAAAGGACUAGAGGAUGGUAUCCUGGGAGAUCCUAGUUGCUGGAGUCCGUGAGAGAGUUUGCAGGUUCAUCUAGUCUCUUAUACUACCCAUCAGAUAUAUCAUGGCUCGAGAGUUGGAGAUGGUCAUCCCUUAUCAGCAGGUAGUGAGCAUUGCUAGGAGAAUCAAGAAUAUGCUCGCCAGGGAGCGAGGGGAGAGCGAGGCCAAGAGGUCUCGAGAGUUGGGCACUACUCCGGUGCUUGUACAUGUCGACAUGGUAGGGGUUUUGUGGGUCUCCCCGUUCAUUCACCUCUUCCAGGAGCCAAUAGUGCUCCAGCUCCGCCUAUACCUCAGAAGCCUUACUAUGCACCUCAAGUUUCUAGCGCGCCUCCUGCGCGGGGUGUUUCUAGAGGUCAGUCCAGCAGACCUACCCUAGUCAGUCACAACCAUCGUGCCUCCCAGAGCUUGUUUUGAGUAUGGCGAUACCCGCCAUUUUGUGAGGUAUUUCCCUAGACUUGGGAGGAGUGCUCCCUCACGGCCUUCUCAAUCAGAGCGUGCUCAACAGAGUUCUCAGGCCAUGAUCACAGCUCCAGUUGCUGCCCCACCCGCUCAGACAGCUAGAGGUGGAGGCUAGGGAGGUAGAGGUCGCCGUCGAGGGGGAGGCCAGGCUAGAUAUUAUGCCCUUCCUUCUCGUGUCGAGGUUGUUGCCUAUGAUUCUAUUAUCACAUGUAUUAUACUAGUUUGUCACAAAGAGGCAUCAUUCUAUUCGAUCCGGGAUCUACUUAUUCUUAUGUGUCUUAUUACUUUGCUCUGCAUUUUGGUGUGCCUCGGGAUUCUUUGAGUGCCCGUGUCUAUGUUUCUACUCCCGUGCGAGAUUCUCUUGUUGUGGACUGCGUCUAUCGGUCAUGUUUAGUUACUAUUCGUAGUUUUGGGACCAGAGCAAAUUUAUUGUUACUCGGUAUAGUUGAUUUUGACAUUAUUGUGGGCAUAGACUGGUUGUUACCCCAUUUUGCUAUUCUUGAUACUCACGCCAAGACCGUGACGCUAGCUAUGCUAGGUAUUUCGUGUGUCGUGUGGAGUGGUACUUUAGAUCACACUCCCAGUAGAUUUAUCUCUUUUCUUAAAGCUUAGUGUAUGGUUGAGAAGGGGUGUGCCGUGUAUUUAGCUUAUGUGAAAGAUGUUAGUGCUGAUACCCCAUCCAUCGAUUCAGUUCGAAUAGUACAGGAUUAUCUCGAUGUGUUUCCAGCUGAUCUUCCGAGCAUGCCACCCGAUAGAGACAUUGAUUUUUCCAUUGAUUUGUUGCCGGACACUCAGCUUACUCCCAUUUCUCCGUAUCGUAUGGCUCCUCAUGAGCUGAAGGAAUUUAAGGAUCAGUUGCAGGAAUUGCUUGAUAAGGAUUUUAUUCGACCUAGAGUUUAACCGUGGGCUGCUCCUAUUUUGUUUGUGAAGAAGAAGGAUGGUUCUAUGAGUAUGUGCGUUGAAUAUAGCCAGUUGAACAAGUCUAUAGUGAAGAACCGUUAUCCUUUGCCUCGUAUUGAUGUUCUGUUUGACCAGCUUCAGGGCGCACAUGUGUUUUCUAAGAUUGACUUGCGCUCAGGUUACCACCAAUUGAAGAUUCAGGAGCCAGACAUCCUGAAGACUGCCUUGAGGACUUGGUAUGGUCAUUUCGAGUUCCUUGCUAUGUCAUUUGGGUUGACCAUUGCCCCAGCAGCUUUUAUGCAUUUGAUACGCAGUGUGUUCAGCCGAUAUCUCAACUCGUUCGUUAUUGUUUUUAUUGAUGAUAUUCUGGUGUAUUCCCUGAGUCGGGAAGAUCAUGAGCAGUACUUGAGGACCUUGCUUCAGAUCCUGUGAGAGAAGAAGUUAUAUGCAAAGUUCUCAAAAUGUGAGUUUUGGUUGGAUUCAGUGGCAUUCUUAGGCCACGUGAUUUCGAGCGAGGGCAUUCGGGUAGUUUCGAGGAAGAUAGAGGCCAUGCAGAGUUGACCCAGGCCGUCCUCAGCUACAGAGAUUCACAAUUUCCUUGGUUUGGCGGGCUACUACCGUCGUUUUGUGGAGGGGUCUUCAUCAACUGCAGCCGCUAUGGCUAGAUUGACCUAGAAGGGUGCCCCAUUUCAGGGGACAAAGGAGUGUGAGUUGAGCUUUCAGAAGCUCAAGACAACUUUGACUACAGCCCCUAUUUUGAUAUUGCCUAUCGGUUCGGGGUCUUAUACUGUCUAUUGUGAUGCCUCGAGAGUUAGCCUCGGAGUGGUGUUGAUGCAGGACUGUAGGGUGAUUGCCUAUGCGUCCAAAUAGUUGAAGAUACAUGAGAAGAACUAUCCCGUCCAUGACUUUGAGUUAGCUACUAUUUGUUCAUGUCUUAAAGAUCUGGUGUCAUUAUUUGUACGGUGUGCCUUAUGAGAUAUAUAGUGACCAUCAGAGUUUACAGCACUUGCUUAAGCAAAAGGAUCUAAAUUUGCGCCAGAGGAGGUGGUUAGAGUUGCUGAAAGAUUAUGAUAUCACUAUUAUGUAUCACCCGGACAAGGCCAAUUUGGUGGCGGAUGCCUUGAGUCGCCGGGCAGAUAGUUUGAGGAGUUUGGCAUAUUUACCAGCUUCAGAGAGGCUUAUGGCGAUGGAUGUUCAGGCCUUAGCCAUUCAGUUUUUGAGAAUUGAUCCUUUCGAGCCUAGUCGGGUUCUAGCUUAUGUGGUUUCCCAGUCUUCCUUAUUUGAUCGUAUUAGGAAGCGGCAGUAUGAUGGCCCUUAUUUCAUUGUGCUUAAGGACAAGGUCCAGCGUGGUGAUGCCAGAGAUGUGACCAUUGGAGAUGACGGGGUGUUGAGGAUGCAAGGCCGUGUUUGUGUGCCCAAUGUUGAUGGGUUAUUGGAGUUGAUUCUAGCAGAGGCCCAUAGUUCGUGUAAUUCCGUCCAUCCGGGUGUCGUAAAGAUGUAUCAGGAUUUGAGGCAACACUAUUGGUGGAGGCGGAGGAAGAAUGGUAUAGUUGGAUAUGUAACGAGAUGCAUCAACUACCUACAGGUGAAGUAUGAUCACCAGAGACCAGGUGGAUUGCUCCGGCAGAUAGAGAUUCCAGAGUGGAAAUGGGAGAGGAUCACCAUGGAUUUUGUAGUUGGACUCCCACAGACCUUGAAGAAGUUUGAUGCUCAUCUGGGUUAUUGUGGAUCGGCUAACCAAGUCUGCUCAUUUCAUUUCUGUGUGUACCAUUUAUUCUUCGGAGCGGUUGGUAGAGAUUUAUAUCCUGGAGAUCGUCCGUCUGCAUGGUAUUCCAGUUUCCGUUAUUUCAAACAGAGGAAAUCAGUUUACAUCACAGUUCUGCAUAGCCGUGCAGCAGGAGUUAGGUAGUCAGAUGGAGUUGAGCACAACUUUUCACCCCCAGAAGGACGGACAGUCCACGCGCACUAUUCAGAUUGUUGAGGAUAUGCUCUAUGCAUGUGUGAUUGAGUUUGGAGGGUCUUGGGAUUAGUUCUUUCCCUUAGCGGAGUUUGCCUACAACAAAAGUUAUCAGUCCAGCAUUUAGAUGGCGCCAUAUGAGGCUUUAUAUGGUAGGAGGUGUAGAUCUCCGGUUGGAUGGUUUGAGGGGGGAGGCUCAAUUUCUAGGUACAGAUUUGGUUCAGGAGGCCUUGGACAAGGUCAAGAUCAUUUAGUAUAGGCUUCGUUCAGCUCACUCUAGGUAGAAGAGUUAUGCAGAUCGCAAGGUUCGAGAUGUAGCAUUUAUGGUUGGUGAGGCCGUAUUGCUCCAAGUAUCUCCUAUGAAGAGCGUGAUAAGAUUUGGGAAGAAGGACAAGCUUAGCCCUAGGUACAUUGGUCCGUUUGAGAUUCUUGAUCGAGUGGGAUAGGUGGCUUAUAGACUCGCAUUACCGCCUAGCUUAUCAAUCUUUCAUCCAAUUUUCCAUGUAUCUAUGCUUCUAAAGUAUCAUCGGCGAUUCAGCCCACGUGCUAGAUUUCAACACUGUCUAGUUGGACAAGGACUUGUCCUAUGAGGAGGAGCCGAUAGCUAUCUUAGACCGGCAGGUUCAUCAGUUGACGUCCAAGAGAUUUCCUUUUGUUCGUGUGCAAUAGAGAGGUCAGCCUCCUAAGGCAUCAACCUGGGAGUCCGAGGCUGAUAUGCAAAGCCGUUAUCCUCAUCUUUUUCCUGACUCAGGUACUUCUUUCUUUUGUCCGUUCGAGGACGAACGGUUAUUUUAGUGGUGUCGGAUGUGAUUACCCAAGGGGGUCAUCACUUGUUUUCUUACCAUUCUGUACUUCUGGGGCCUUCAAAGCCUCAUCAGAGGUUGCCUUAAUUUACAUGUGCAGUCCAGGCGCGUAGCCGGAAAGCUUAGAUAUGGAUUCUAUGAGAAAAAUGCUAAAUUUUGAUAUUAAAUUGAAUAAAUUUGACUUCGGUCAAUAUUUUAAGUAAACGAACCGGACCCGUGAUUUGAUAGUCCUGAAUCCGCAGGAAAAUAUGGGACUUGGGCGUAUGCUCGGAAUCAAAUUCCAAGGUCCCAAGCCCAAGCAAUGAAUUUUUGUGUAAAAUUAUUUUAUGAAAAUAUUUGAGGAAAUUGGAUAUGAAAUUCGAUUAGAACAUAUUGGUAUCGGGCCCAUAUUUUUGUUCCGGCAUGCGAUGCAGGUCUUGUAUGUGGUUUAAGCACUUUUGUAAAGUAUGGUAAAAAAAGGGACGUCGUUUGACGUGUUUCAGACUUAAAAUGGAAAUGCAAUAUUUUAUGAAAAUUUGGAGGAAAUCAUGAGUUUGAGGCUUAAUUCAUUGUAUAUGAUGUUAUUUUGGCGAUUUGAUCGCACGGAUAAGUCCGUAGAAUGUUUUUGAGGUUGUGUACAUAUUUGGUUUGGAGCCCCGAGGGCUCAGGUGAGUUUUGGACAGGUGGCGGAGUGCAUUUUUCAACCUGGGAAAUUUGCUGCGAUAACUGACCUACAGGCUUCACAAUUGCGAAGCCUGGCUCGCAAAUGCGAGCCCACAAUUGCGAACGAUCAGCUCGCAAAUGCGAGGAUGCCCCCAGACCAAUAGUUAUCACAAAUGCGAUAUUGGGCUCGCAAAUAAGAAGUCCCACUUUCUUGCCAGAGUUCGCAAAGGCGAUUAAUACCACCGCAAUUGCGAAGGUGAGGUCUUCGCAAAUGUGACCUUUUGGUUCGGAAAUGCGAACCUCCCUUCUUCCCUCAUAGUUCGCAAAUGAGAACAAGAACCUGACAUUUUUUAUACCUCUAAGGUUCGCAAUUGCGAACCCCUGCUCGCAAUUCCCAUAUCUGCAACUUUCAAUUUUUAUACUUAGUCGAAUUUAGACAGCUUCACCUUAUUUUUCAAAACACAACUCCUUUGAGCGAUUUCCAAGAAGAAGACCUCUUCCAAAUCAUUUGUAAGUUGGUUUUUACUUAUUUCUUUCAAUCAUUUACAUCAUUUAACAUGUUUUCAACUUAAAAUUAGUGAUUUUCAUAGGUGGAAUUUGAGGUUUGGGUAAAUCCUAGAUUUUUUAGAAAUUGGGGAUUUGGACCUCAAUUUGAGGCCUGAUUUCAAAAAAAAUAAUAUAUUUGGGUUCGUGGGGGAAUGGGUAACCAGAUUUUGGUUUGAACCUCGGGUUUUUACCAUGUUGACCUGAGGGGCAUUUUGGUCAUUUUACCUAAAUUUAUGUCUUAAUGAAAUAGUGGAAUCAGUUAUUUGAGAUGUUAUUUAUGAGAUGUAAUAGAAAUGAAUAGAUUGGGCCAUUUGGAGUUGGAUACUCGGGGCAAAAGAGUGAUCUCAAGUUGACUUUGGAACCGAUUGAGGUAAGUGGCUUGCCUAACCUUGUGUGGGGGAUUUCCCUUUAGAAUAUGGUGUUUAGUAAUUGAAUGCCUCGUACGUGAGGUGACGAGCGCGUACUUGAGCAAUUUGUUGGAAACCCGUUUUUUCUUGAAGUAUUUAAAUUGAGUUUUCUUGCUAACCUGCUCAUUUGAAAUUGUAAGUUUAUUCUAUGCUAAUUUAGAGGAGCAUGUUCAUUGAUUUACUUGCCUAAGUGCUUAAAUUGUCUUGUUUGUACUCCAUGUAGUAUCUUUGGCUAGUAUUUUUCAAUUUCUUGUCCUGAGUUAGUAUCUUUUAUGAUGUUUGGGUUGCUAUUGUAUGUUUUUAAAUUGGGACUACGGGUUGGCUUCCCGAGAGAUCCCCCAGCACUUGAUAUGUUCUGGACUGAGGGUGCGGGAUACCGAGAGAUCCAUGGCACAUGACUUUAUAAGAUUUGAGGAUAUCAAGAGAUCCGUGGCAAAUGAAAUUAUAGGUUAGAGGAUACCAAGAGAUCUGUGGCACAUGAAAUUAUAAGAUUUGAGGAUACCAAGAGAUCCUUGGGAUACCAAGAGAUCUAUGGGACAUGAAAUUGUAAGAUUUGAGGAUACCAAGAGAUCCCUGGCACAUGAAAUUGUAAGAUUUGANNNNNNNNNNNNNNNNNNNNNNNNNNNNNNNNNNNNNNNNNNNNNNNNNNNNNNNNNNNNNNNNNNNNNNNNNNNNNNNNNNNNNNNNNNNNNNNNNNNNNNNNNNNNNNNNNNNNNNNNNNNNNNNNNNNNNNNNNNNNNNNNNNNNNNNNNNNNNNNNNNNNNNNNNNNNNNNNNNNNNNNNNNNNNNNNNNNNNNNNNNNNNNNNNNNNNNNNNNNNNNNNNNNNNNNNNNNNNNNNNNNUCUCGGGAUACCAAGAGAUCCCCGGUUGUGGUUCCUGUUGUGAGUAGUAUUUACUAGCAUUGUCUUGUUUUUCUACUUUUCAUUACGUUUUCAUAUUUAUCUUGUUUAGAUUCUGGUUGUACACUUAAUCUAUACUGUUAUUUCCUCAUCUUAUUGUUUAUUAUGUUGUAUCUCAGUAGGGCCCGGACCUUUCCUCGUCACUACCCAAUCGAGGUUUGUCUUGGCACUUACUUAGUACAAUGUGGUGUACUCAUGCCUCUUCUGUAAAUUUUUUUUUUCAUGCGCAGAUCCAGGUACUUCAUCUCAGGCACACUACCCUUGAGGCCAGGAGAGAUACUGAGACUUUGAG